rnacentral:lncRNA from 1 species
AUUUAUUUCAGUACAUGUUGUGGUUAAUUGUUGUCCAUUUUAAUAUUAUGUGUUUGCCAUAUGUGUUGUAAAUUCAGUUAUAUCGCUAGGGGCCCGCUCAAUGGGUCCAGGACUUCACCGUCCUUGGUAUGCCACAAUGCGAUUUCAUGUUACAGUUAAGGUUGCAACCUAUUCGCCAGGGGCCCGCUCAAUGGGUCCAGGACAUUAAAGUCCUUGGUAUGCCACCGUGCGAAUUUCAGUUAUCAGUAUUACAGUGCAGUGCGUAUGUGUUGACCAUUUUAUUAACGUGGACAAUGAUUGCAUGUUUCCCACACUGAGUAUAUUCUGUAUGCUCAUCCCAUACUUAACAUUUUCAGGUUUUAAAGGCCGGAGGCGCGUGGAGGUCGAAUGGCGAGUCAAAUAUUUUGAAUUUAGCAUUACUUAAAAAUGUUAUUUUGAGUAAAGUAUGUUUAAAUAAAAAUUUAUUUCCUG